CCUACGGGUGGCAGCAGUGAGGAAUAUUGGUCAAUGGACGCAACUCUGACCCAGCCAUGCCGCGUGAAUGAAGAAGGUUUUCGGAUUUUAAAACUCUUUCUGAUGUGGCGAUAAUGACGUUAGCAUCUGAAGACUCCCCGUCUAACUUCAUGCCAGAAGCCGCGGUUAUACGGAGGCAGCAGGCGUUGUUCGGAAUUACUGGGCGUAAAGGGAGUGUAGGCGGUUUAGUAAGAUAGCGGUGAAAUUCCAGGGCUUAACUUUGGAAUUUCCAGUAUAACUAGUAGACUAGAAUUAGAGAGAGGUAAGCGGAAUACGUGGUGUAGCGGUGAAAUGCGUAGAUAUCGGGUAGAACUCCAGUUGCGAAGGCAACUAACUGGCUGUACACUGACGCUGAGGCGCGAAAGCAUGGGGAUCAAACAGGAUUAGAUACCCCGGUAGUC
rnacentral:rRNA from 1 species